rnacentral:lncRNA from 1 species
GGAAUUUAGUUGUUUAAUGCAACCACUAAUCUAAUAUCACCAAUAAAAUCUAAGCAGUUAUAUCACAAAACCAGGGUUAUAUUCAGUGGACAUGCAUUAAUAAUCUAUACAAUUUAACAUUACACCAGAAAAGGAACUGAAUACAAAAUUUUCCUUGACAUUUGGUGGUUUUCAAACUUCAUGGCACAGAUUACCAAAAAAAAAAAAAAAUUGUAAAAACAGAUUUUAAAUAUUUUCAAUAGAAUGGUAAAAAAUUGAACAAGCCUUUAAAUUUUCAUAUUGGGGUGAAUAUUUAAAACAUCAAGCUGGCCCCGAUCUGUCAAAAAUGACAGGUAAAUAUUUACAGCGACUAGACAGGCUUUCAGUUACAAUGGUAUUGGAGGGCAACUUCCCCUGGUAAAAACCUUUUAUGGUUAAUUUCCCAAUGCAAAUAUGUUUUCAUAAAUACUGUGAUAAUUUAAACUUGGAAACAUACCUGAAAUCAGGACAGGGACAAAAAAAACCAACACAAGUCAAUCUUAUUUCUGACCUGUUAUCAUAAAGCCUUUUUGGGUCCAGACACC